rnacentral:misc_RNA from 1 species
UACGAAUGGGGCAAGCGUUGUUCGGAAUCACUGGGCUUAAAGCGUGCGUAGGCGGAUUUGCAAGUCAGAAGUGAAAUCCCAGGGCUUAACCCUGGAAUUGCUUUUGAAACUGCAAAUCUAGAAGAUCGAAGAGGUUAGCAGAAUUCCGAGUGUAGAGGUGAAAUUCGCAGAUAUUCGGAGGAAUACCAAUGGCGUAGGCAGCUAACUGGGCAAUUUUUGACGCUGAGGCACGAAAGCGUGGGGAGCAAACAGG